UGGGCUGUAGCUCAGUGGUAGAGCACUUGCCUAGCAUGUAUGAGGCACUAGGUCUGAUUCUCAGCACCACAU
rnacentral:tRNA from 1 species